rfam:Sorghum bicolor cultivar BTx623 chromosome 2, whole genome shotgun sequence.
GUAGUCGGAUUCACAUCAAUCCACAUGUGUUGGGGUGGAUUGGAAUAAAAUUUCAACUAAAUUUCACACUAAUCCACUCAAACACAUGUGGAUUGAGAUGAAUCUGAUA